rnacentral:tRNA from 1 species
CCCCUGGUGGUCCAGUGGCUAAGACUCCAUACUCCCAACACAGGGGGCCCAGGUUCAAUCCCUGGUCAGGGAA